UACGAAGGGGGCGAGCGUUGUUCGGAGUUACUGGGCGUAAAGGGCGUGUAGGCGGCGCUCCAAGUUAGGCGUGAAAGCCCCGGGCUCAACCUGGGAAUAGCGCUUAAGACUGGAGUGCUCGAGUGCGGAAGAGGUGAGUGGAAUUCCCAGUGUAGAGGUGAAAUGCGUAGAUAUCUGGAGGAAUACCGGUGGCGAAGGCGGCAUCCUGGACCGGCAUUGACGCUGAUGAGCGAAAGCUAGGGGAGCAAACGGG
rnacentral:rRNA from 1 species